GCUUAUCUGGUUGAUCCUGCCAGUAGUCAUACGCUCGUCUCAAAGAUUAAGCCAAGCAUGUGGAAGUAUAAAUAUUUGACUUUGAAACUGCGAAUGGCUCAUUUUAUCAGUUAUAGUUUAUUUGAUGAACAAUACUACUUGGAUAACCGUAGUAAUUCUAGAGCUAAUACAUGACAAAAUCCUCGACUUUGAAGAGGUGUAUUUAUUAGAAUGAAACCAAGAGACUUCGGUCUAUUUGUGAGUAAUAAUAACUAAUCGUAUCGCAUGCUUAGGUAGCGAUAUGUCUUUCAAGUUUCUGCCCUAUCAGCUUUGGAUGGUAGUGUGUUGGACUACCAUGGCAGUAACGGGUAACGAAGAAUUUGGGUUCGAUUUCGGAGAGGGAGCCUGAGAGAUGGCUACCACAUCCAAGGAAGGCAGCAGGCGCGUAAAUUACCCAAUCCUGACAUAGGGAGGUAGUGACAAUAAAUCACAAUGCGGAACUAUUAGUUUUGCAAUAGGAUUGAGAACAAUGUACAAAUGUUAUCGAUAAACAAUUGGAGGGCAAGUCUGGUGCCAGCAGCCGCGGUAAUUCCAGCUCCAAUAGCGUAUAUUAACGUUGUUGCAGUUAAAAAGCUCA
rnacentral:rRNA from 1 species